CAACCCCCCCCUCCCCUUCAUUUAAAAAUGCAUCCAUCCCCUCUCCGCCUCCCUCCAUGCACAUUUCCUCAUUUAAAUUACCUCCUUGUUCCUCCCUUCUCUCUCACCCCCCACAAACACAUUAACACCUCUCUCCAUCCACACUCUUCUUCAACAUGCUCCACUCUCCCUCGCCCCUCCACCUCCCUCCUUUCAGAAUCCCUCGCAAUCCCUUCUUCUAGUGCCCUCUAAUCCCGCCAUCAACCUCCCUCCUUCAACACUAUUCCCUCUCCGUUCCACUCCCUCCACUCAACUUCACAAUCCCCGCUCCCAUUCCUUCCCUCGCUUUAAUCGCCUCUCAGCUUCCUCCGGGUUCCCCGGUUUCCUUCCAUAGCUAAAACAACCCCCCCCACACACACACCACACACAAUGUAACCACUAUUUGGCCAAAACAUCUCAACGUUGAAAAACAAUUACCUGGACAUCACUCAGCCGGGAAUCUCGCACAGCAGCAACAUCGCCCCGCUCUCCACUGGCGAACACGUGGAAGGACCCUCCUCAAAGAGUCUUGAGACUCAGCGAGAGGCUUUCUUGGCAAACAGAGACCUCUCGCGCGCCACUCCUCAACGCCAGACACAGCGACAUUGAGGCACGGGUCUCUCUGCCUGGGCCCGUCGAGUGGGACCGGUGGCCAAGUUUGAAAGUGCAUCAUUCUGCUUCACACGGGAACAUUGUCCCCUUCUGUGAAACCACCGCUGACCGCACAAGUCUGUGAAUCACGGCGUCGUCACAAUCGCCUGGUAUUCGGACGUGUGGAUCUCGGCCACAGGAAUUGCAACCUCACACGGGCGACACGUCGUGGCAUUUACACUGACCACGGUAUAACCAAAGACUGUACCAAAAGGGGGGGGGGGGAACAACUACUGACACGUGGGGGGCUUAGUGUGAAGGCCCCCCUCGCUCAACCGCAUUCCCAACAUUCCUGCUGUCAACGAUGACCCCCCCCCCAACUCGACCCCGCCAACCUAACUGCUACGCGCUUCUGUGCGUUUUCCCACAGAGCAACAACAUUGGCGGAGAAACGGCAAAAGCAACAGCAAGCGGCGGUGCGGGCCAAGGCGUGCGAAUACCGCAUUGCCCAUGGGAGCACACGGGAGCUCGUGCCCAGAGCUGCGAGUCUCCCCCGUUCCUGGUUAUGUGGUGGAGGGGGGGGGGUGCCUUGCCAGGCAAUACUAAAGCCAUGCACUUC